GCCAGCUUCUGCCAGAGUAACAGGAAACAGUCAAGAUACAGAAGAUGCUGUGGUGCCUUUUCAAGAAAUCCUGCCAUUUGCUACAAGAGGGAUGAACUUGGAAGACACUGUGCAAAGUGAAACAAGCCAGACACGGAAGAGCAAAGACUACAAGAUCCCACUUGUAUGACAAAUCUAAAAUCGUGAAACUCCUAGAAGCAGAAAGUAGAAUGGUGGCAACCAUGGGCCGGGGGUGGGGGGCAAGGAUCAGAGAGAUGUUGGUCCAAGGGUACAAAGUUUCACUUAGGCAAGAAGAGAAAGUCCCAGAGACUUACUGCACAGCACAGACCGUGUAGUGAAGAACACUGUGUUGUAUACUUACAAAUUUGUUAAGAGGGUAGAUCUUAUGUUAAACUUCCAUACCCAAAAGACAAAAAAAAGAGGGAAGGAGGAAACUUCUAGAGGUGCAGGGCAUUGUACACGGUGACAAUUUCAUGAGCAUAUACUUAUAUACUUACCUUUAGACCCACUGAGAUAUGCACAUAAAUAUACACAACUGUUUUGUAUGUCAGUCACACCUCAGUGUAAAUAUAUAUACAAACACAUACAUAUAAAAACAACACCAAAAAGUAAAAAGCCCAUCAGAAAAAGGUAGGAUUCUACUAAGGGCAGAUUGUCCUUCAGACGACGAGCCCACUCUCCAUAGGAAAGACUUCAAGGCGAAUGAGAACUUGAUUUUUUUAAACGUUUAUUUAUUUUAGAGAGAGAGAGGAGAGAGACAGAGAGCUGAGAGCACAGAGCCCAAUGCCGGGCUCAAACUCACAAACGGUGAGAUCAUGAUCUGAGCCAAAGUCGGGCAUCUAAUUGACCGAGCCACCCAGGUGCCCCCAGAACUUAAGACUUUAAAGCUUGGAGAACUGGGGCAAGAAAAUGGCAUCUGUGGAGACAGGAAAACACCAUCCAUGGAAUGUGCUGGAAACCUAAGGAGCAGGUCCGGCUUGCAGAGGCCAGUCUCUUUUCCUGUCCUCCCCGGAGCUCCCAGAGCAGCACAGUGCAUUCCACCAGACACCCAGACAGACCCAAAGAAAUCACAGUGCACCUGUUUGUCACCGCCCUCCCCAGGGACAGGCUUCUAAUCCCAGACAAGCUGCACCUCCUCUAAAAGCAGAAAUCAGGAUGAAGCUCAGUGCCAUGGGACUCAAAGGUGGUUCUGGCAUGUGCACUUUUUCUCAAUUCAGAAAAGCAAACUCAACUGCUUUUAAAGGUUGAUGACUGGGGCGCCUGGGUGAUUUGAUCGGUUAAGCAUCCGACUUCAGCUCAGGUCAUGAUCUCAUAGCUGGUGAGUUCGAGCCUCGCAUCAGGCUGCGUGCUGACAGCUCAGAGCCUGGAGCCUGCUUCGGAUUCUGUGUGUGUCUCCCUCUCUCUCUGCCCCUCCUUCACUUGUGCUCUCUCAAAAAUAAAUAAACAUUAAAAAAAAAAAGGUUGAUUACUUCCCUCUGGCUGGACGCUGAAUAAUAAAUAUUAACCUUAUGAAACCACCCUCAACUUUCAGUCUACUAAAACAGGAGGCUUUUUCCAGUUGCACUUUCUCACCUGAAACUGAACUUCACUGCCCAGCAUCCUUCCUUUAGGGCAUCAUAACCAUGCUCCAGUUUCCCUUUGGCAACUCUGGUCAGAUCUGAGCCCCAAGCACAAGUUCAGAGGUGGUUCGUACAGACUAAUAGAAAGGGUUUUCCCCACACCAGCCCCCAAAACGAGAUUCCCUAACACCUAUGAAAGCAGUGGAGUUAAGAGAUGAGAACAUUCCAGACGGUGGGGCACCUGGGUGGCUCAUUCAUUCAGCAGCCGACUCGUGGUUUCCUCUUGGGUCGUGGCCUCACGGUUCAUGGGAUUGAGCCCUGUGUCAGGUUCUGCGCUGGGCAUGGUGCCUGCUUGGGAAUCUCUCUCUCCUUCUCCCUCUGCCGCUCCCCUAUUCUCUCUAAAUAAAUAAAUAAAUAAAUAAAUAAACAUUAAAAAAAAAAAGAAA